rnacentral:tRNA from 1 species
CAAGAAGUAGUUCAGGUAGAAUGUCUGCUUUGGGCGCUGACGGCGAAGGAUUUUUGUCCUUCCUUCUUGA